GACGAACCUUGCUAACGUUAUUCGGAAUUACUGGGCUUAAAGGGUGCGUAGGCGGCGCGGAAAGUUGGGUGUGAAAUCCCUUGGCUCAACCGAGGAAUUGCGCCCAAAACUGCCGCACUAGAGGAAGACAGAGGUACGCGGAACUUAGGGUGGAGCGGUGAAAUGCGUUGAUAUCCUAAGGAACACCGGUGGCGAAAGCGGCGUACUGGGUCUUAUCUGACGCUGAGGCACGAAAGCUAGGGGAGCGAACGGG
rnacentral:rRNA from 1 species